rnacentral:rRNA from 1 species
UUGGGGAAUCUUGCCGCAAUGGGACGAAAGUCUGACGGAGCAACGCCGCGUGAGUGAAGAAGGUUUUCGGAUCGUAAAACUCUGUCUUUUGGGGCGAACGUGAGUAUGGUGAACAAUCAUAGUCAGUGACGGUACCAAAGGAGGAAGCCACGGCUAACUACGUGCCAGCAGCCGCGGUAAUACGUAGGUGGCAAGCGUUGUCCGGAAUUAUUGGGCGUAAAGAGCGCGUAGGCGGGGUAGUCAGUCUGUUGUAAAAGUGCGGGGGCUCAACCCCGUGAUGGCAAUGGAAAGCAGCUAUUCUUGAGUGCAGGAGAGGAAAGUGGAAUUCCCAGUGUAGCGGUGAAAAUGCGUAGAUAUUGGGAGGAACACCAUGGCGAAGGCGACUUUCUGGACUGUGUCUGACGCUGAGGCGCNAAAGCCAGGGGGAGCGAACCGGGGAUUAGAUACCCCCGGUAGUCCUGGGCCGUAAAACGAUGGGGUACUAGGUGUGGGAGGUAUCGACCCCCUUUCCGU